GUUUUAAUAAUUUAACAAAAAUAUUGGUCUUGUAAAUCAAAAAUAAGGAAUUACCUUUUAGAACU
rnacentral:tRNA from 2 species